AUGAACGCUAGCGACAGGCCUAACACAUGCAAGUCGAGGGGCAGCACAAGGAGCAAUCUGAGGUGGCGACCGGCGCACGGGUGAGUAACACGUAUGCAACCUGCCUGUAAGCGGGGAAUAACCCGUUGAAAGACGGACUAAUACCGCAUAAUACUAAAUUACUGCAUGGUAAUUUAUUUAAACAUUUAUGGCUUACAGAUGGGCAUGCGCAUGAUUAGCUAGUUGGAGAGGUAACGGCUCCCCAAGGCAACGAUCAUUAGGGGUUCGUGAGAGGAAGGUCCCCCACCACUGGUACUGAGACACGGACCAGACUCCUACGGGAGGCAGCAGUGAGGAAUAUUGGUCAAUGGACGAGAGUCUGAACCAGCCAAGUCGCGUGCAGGAAGAAUGUCCUAUUGGAUUGUAAACUGCUUUUGCAGGGGAAUAAAGUGCAUCACGUGUGAUGUUUUGUAUGUACUCUGCGAAUAAGGAUCGGCUAACUCCGUGCCAGCAGCAGC
rnacentral:rRNA from 1 species